rnacentral:rRNA from 1 species
UGGCGGACGGGUGAGUAACGCGUGGAAAACCUGCCGUAUACUGGGGGAUAACACUUAGAAAUAGGUGCUAAUACCGCAUAAGCGCACAGCUUCGCAUGAAGCAGUGUGAAAAACUCCGGUGGUAUACGAUGGUUCCGCGUCUGAUUAGCUAGUUGGUGAGGUAAAAGCCCACCAAGGCGACGAUCAGUAGCCGGCCUGAGAGGGUGAACGGCCACAUUGGGACUGAGACACGGCCCAGACUCCUACGGAAGGCAGCAG